rnacentral:rRNA from 1 species
UACGUAGGGUGCAAGCGUUGUCCGGAAUUAUUGGGCGUAAAGAGCUCGUAGGCGGUCUGUCGCGUCGGAUGUGAAAAUCCAGGGCUCAACCCUGGACCUGCAUUCGAUACGGGCAGACUAGAGUUCGGUAGGGGAGACUGGAAUUCCUGGUGUAGCGGUGAAAUGCGCAGAUAUCAGGAGGAACACCGGUGGCGAAGGCGGGUCUCUGGGACGGAACUGACGCUGAGACGACGAACGUGGGGAGCGAACAGG